rnacentral:rRNA from 1 species
CCUACGGGAGGCAGCAGUGGGGAAUAUUGCACAAUGGGGGAAACCCUGAUGCAGCCAUGCCGCGUGUGUGAAGAAGGCCUUCGGGUUGUAAAGCACUUUCAGUUGUGAGGAAAAGUUAGUAGUUAAUACCUGCUAGCCGUGACGUUAACAACAGAAGAAGCACCGGCUAAUUCCGUGCCAGCAGCCGCGGUAAUACGGAGGGUGCGAGCGUUAAUCGGAAUUACUGGGCGUAAAGCGCACGCAGGCGGUUUGUUAAGCUAGAUGUGAAAGCCCCGGGCUCAACCUGGGAUGGUCAUUUAGAACUGGCAGACUAGAGUCUUGGAGAGGGGAGUGGAAUUCCAGGUGUAGCGGUGAAAUGCGUAGAUAUCUGGAGGAACAUCAGUGGCGAAGGCGACUCCCUGGCCAAAGACUGACGCUCAUGUGCGAAAGUGUGGGUAGCGAACAGGAUUAGAUACCCUGGUAGUCCACACCGUAAACGCUGUCUACUAGCUGUGUGUGUCUUUAAGACGUGCGUAGCGAAGCUAACGCGCUAAGUAGACCGCCUGGGGAGUACGGCCGCAAGGUUAAAACUCAAAUGAAUUGACGGA